CCCGCACAAGCGGUGGAGCAUGUGGUUUAAUUCGAUGAUACGCGAGGAACCUUACCUGGGCUCAAAUGUAUGUUGACGUAUUCUGAAAGGGAUACUUCUUCGGACAAUAUACAAGGUGCUGCAUGGUUGUCGUCAGCUCGUGCCGUGAGGUGUCGGGUUAAGUCCCAUAACGAGCGCAACCCCUAUCAUUAGUUGCCAUCAGGUCAAGCUGGGGACUCUAAAGGAACUGCCUACGCAAGUAGUGAGGAAGGCGGGGAUGACGUCAAAUCAGCACGGCCCUUACGUCCAGGGCUACACACGUGCUACAAUGGCCGAUACAGAGGGCAGCUACCUGGUGACAGGAUGCAAAUCUCCAAAGUCGGUCUCAGUUCGGAUCGGAGUCUGCAACCCGACUCCGUGAAGUUGGAUUCGCUAGUAAUCGCGCAUCAGCCAUGGCGCGGUGAAUACGUUCCCGGGCCUU
rnacentral:rRNA from 1 species